rnacentral:rRNA from 1 species
GACGAACGCUGGCGGCGUGCUUAACACAUGCAAGUCGAACGGAAAGGCCCUGCUUUUGUGGGGUACUCGAGUGGCGAACGGGUGAGUAACACGUGAGUAACCUGCCCUUGACUUUGGGAUAACUUCAGGAAACUGGGGCUAAUACCGGAUAGGAGCUCCUGCUGCAUGGUGGGGGUUGGAAAGUUUCGGCGGUUGGGGAUGGACUCGCGGCUUAUCAGCUUGUUGGUGGGGUAGUGGCUUACCAAGGCUUUGACGGGUAGCCGGCCUGAGAGGGUGACCGGCCACAUUGGGACUGAGAUACGGCCCAGACUCCUACGGGAGGCAGCAGUGGGGAAUAUUGCACAAUGGGCGGAAGCCUGAUGCAGCAACGCCGCGUGCGGGAUGACGGCCUUCGGGUUGUAAACCGCUUUCGCCUGUGGCGAAGCGUGAGUGACGGUAAUGGGUAAAGAAGCACCGGCUAACUACGUG